rnacentral:rRNA from 1 species
UACGUAGGGUGCAAGCGUUAAUCGGAAUUACUGGGCGUAAAGCGAGCGCAGGCGGUUUUGUAAGUCAGAUGUGAAAGCCCCGGGCUUAACCUGGGAACUGCGUUUGAAACUACAAGGCUAGAGUAUGGGAGAGGGGGGUAGAAUUCCACGUGUAGCAGUGAAAUGCGUAGAGAUGUGGAGGAAUACCAAUGGCGAAGGCAGCCCCCUGGCCUAAUACUGACGCUCAUGCUCGAAAGCGUGGGGAGCAAAC